rnacentral:rRNA from 1 species
AGCUUUUUGGAAAUAUAAAAGGUGAUUUUUGCUCAAUGAUAUUUUAAAUAGCCAUAGUAUUUAUGACUAUGCAAAGGUAGCAUAAUCAUUUGUCUUAUAAAUUAAGACUGGAAUGAAUGGAUAUUUGGGGCAGUACUUUCUUAGAUUAAAAAUUAAAAGUAAAUUUUUUAGUGAAGAAGCUAAAAUUAUGUUAAGGGACGAGAAGACCCUAUUAAGCUUUAUAUAAUUAUUUUGUUGGGGAAAUAGAAGGAUAAAAUUCCUUUAUAAAAAUGGGUUGAUGAGUAUUGAUUUUUUAAUAAAAAAUAAUAGAACAAGUUACUAUAGGGAUAACAGCAUAAUUUUUUUUAAAAGUUCAUAUUGACAAAAAAGGUUAUGACCUCGAUGUUGGAUUAAAAUUAUUAUAUGAUGUAGUUGUUGUAUAAAUUAGUCUGUUCGACUAUUAAAUUUUUACA